rnacentral:rRNA from 1 species
ACGGAAUAGAUACCCUGGUAGUCCACGCCCUAAACGAUGUCUACUAGUUGUCGGGGAUUCAUUUCCUUGGUAAACGCAGCUAAACGCGUGAAGUAGACCGCCUGGGGAGUACGGCCGCAAGGUUAAACUCAAAGGAAUUGACGGGGACCCGCACAAGCGGUAGAUGAUGUGGAUUAAUUCGAUGCAACGCGAAAACCUUACCUACGCUUGACAUGCCAGGAACUUUCCAGAGAUGGAUUGGUGCCCGAAAGGGAACCUGGACACAGGUGCUGCAUGGCUGUCGUCAGCUCGUGUCGUGAGAUGUUGGGUUAAGUCCCGCAACGAGCGCAACCCUUAUCCUUAGUUGCUACGCAAGGGCACUCUAGGGAGACUGCCGGUGACAAACCGGAGGAAGGUGGGGAUGACGUCAAGUCCUCAUGGCCCUUAUGUGUAGGGCUUCACACGUCAUACAAUGGUCGGUACAGAGGGUCGCCAACCCGCGAGGGGGAGCCAAUCCCAGAAAACCGAUCGUAGUCCGGAUUGCAGUCUGCAACUCGACUGC